rnacentral:tRNA from 15 species
GCGAGGUUGGCGAAAUUGGUAGACGCAUCAGACUUAAAAUCUGACGACCUUUGGUUGUGCGGGUUCGAUUCCCGCACCUCGCACCA